CUGGCUCAGGACGAACGCUGGCGGCGUGCCUAACACAUGCAAGUCGAGCGAGGAGAUUCCUUCGGGAUGAUCCUAGCGGCGGACGGGUGAGUAACACGUGGGCAACCUGCCUCAUAGAGAGGAAUAGCCUUCCGAAAGGGAGAUUAAUACCUCAUAACAUUGCAGUUUCGCAUGGAACAGCAAUUAAAGGAGUAAUCCGCUAUGAGAUGGGCCCGCGGCGCAUUAGCUAGUUGGUGAGGUAACGGCUCACCAAGGCGACGAUGCGUAGCCGACCUGAGAGGGUGAUCGGCCACAUUGGGACUGAGACACGGCCCAGACUCCUACGGGAGGCAGCAGUGGGGAAUAUUGCACAAUGGGGGAAACCCUGAUGCAGCAACGCCGCGUGAGUGAUGACGGCCUUCGGGUUGUAAAGCUCUGUCUUCAGGGACGAUAAUGACGGUACCUGAGGAGGAAGCCACGGCUAACUACGUGCCAGCCGCCGC
rnacentral:rRNA from 1 species